AGCGCACAGCCAGCAAGCGGAGAAACUGUUUUCCCCGAGAGCCAGGAACUGUUUCUCACCCUGGACCUGGAGCCAGUACCCCACGAACCAACCCAAGGUGGGCUCCUGGACUCACCAGGCGGAGAAGGGGUCUCUGCUGCAAAGGUUUCAACGCUCACACUACCAUCUCCGUCCCAGAGGCUAGCGAAGAUUAGAAGGA